rnacentral:pre_miRNA from 1 species
GCACAUAGGGCUGAAUCCAAUGUCCAUUCAAGUCAAUGAAAGUCUUUCCAUUGACUUGAGGGGACAUUGGAUUGGGCCCAUAUUAC